rnacentral:rRNA from 1 species
AUGAACAUUGCUCUCCUGACCCGAUGGCUCUGGCGAAUCGCCAAUGGGGAGGGAGGACUCUGGCUUACCAUCAUCUGAAAUAAGUACCUUCGGGGCCAACCCCUAGCUUUCUGUCAGCGUUUUGGUGGCUCCCAGUUCUGGCAGGCUGUGAUUCAGCUACUAACCGUGCUCCGCAUCGGCACGUCCAUCUCGGUUGGCUCCGGGUCCUCAACCCUGUUCUGGUUCGAUCGUUGGUUAGGGGACCCACCUGGCCGCUCGAUUCCCGGAACUAUUCGCCAUAGCGGUUGA